UACGUAGGGGGCAAGCGUUGUCCGGAAUUAUUGGGCGUAAAGGGCUCGUAGGCGGUUUGUUGCGUCGGCUGUGAAAUCCCGAGGCUCAACCUCGGGUCUGCAGUCGAUACGAGCAAACUAGAGUGUUGCAGGGGAGACUGGAAUUCCUGGUGUAGCGGUGGAAUGCGCAGAUAUCAGGAGGAACACCGGUGGCGAAGGCGGGUCUCUGGGCAGUAACUGACGCUGAGGAGCGAAAGCGUGGGGAGCGAACAGG
rnacentral:rRNA from 1 species